UACGGAGGGUGCAAGCGUUUGUCCGGAAUCACUGGGCGUAAAGGGCGCGUAGGCGGCUCGGUAAGUAGGGGGGUGAAAAUCCUGCGGCUUAACCGCAGGGCUGCCUUCUAAACUGUCGAGCUUGAGCACGGUAGAGGCAGAUGGAAUUCCCGGUGUAGCGGUGGAAUGCGUAGAGAUCGGGAAGAACAUCAGUGGCGAAGGCGGCAUCCUGGACCAACACUGACACUGAGGAGCGAAAGCUAGGGGAGCAAACGGGG
rnacentral:rRNA from 1 species